CCUACGGCUGGCAGCAGUGAGGAAUAUUGGUCAAUGGACGGAAGUCUGACCCAGCCACGCCGCGUGCAGGAAGAAGGCUCUAUGAGUUGUAACCUGCUUUUGUACAAGGGUAAACCUGAAUACGUGUAUUCAGCUGAAAGUACUGUACGAAUAAGGAUAGGCUAACUCCGUGCCAGCAGCCGCGGUAAUACGGAGGAUCCAAGCGUUAUCCGGAUGUAUUGGGUUUAAAGGGUGCGUAGGCGGAUUGAUAAGUUAGAUGUGAAAUGUCCGAGCUUAACUCGGGAACUGCCUCUAAUACUGUUGAUCUAGAGAGUAGGUGAGGUAGGCGGAAUGUAUGGUGUAGCGGGGAAAUGCUUAGAGAUCAGACAGAACACCGGUUGCGAAGGCGGCUUACCAAACUAUAACUGACGUUGAGGCACGAAAGCGUGGGGAGCAAACAGGAUUAGAUACCCCAGUAGUC
rnacentral:rRNA from 1 species